rnacentral:lncRNA from 1 species
CCGCAGACACUUGCACAUUCGAGAACGGCAUCUGUCCUCAAUGGGUGUCGACGAACUGUAGCCGAGAGGCCUGCUUCGAGGCUCGCAAGGUGGCCACUAUGGAACUCGGACCAGCGUAUGACCAUACGCUCAAGACUGCGGACGGAUGGAGCGCUUACGCGUCGAGAGGAACAUCAAGUGGCGGGUUUCCGCGUGCCGAACUGUCCCGGAAAGUUCAGGGGCCCUUCUGUUUCACUGCCUGGUACCACCAGUCAGGCACGCAAGCUACCAAGGCCGUGUUCAUCGCGGAUCACAAGUUUAAACUACGAGAAAAAUUUUACUCUACUCAGCCGGACAUGGCCGGCCGCUGGCAGAGAGUUCGGUACUCAAAGAAAAUCGCCGAUGAGUUCGAGGUUUCAGCCGCUACG